rnacentral:misc_RNA from 1 species
UUUGGGACUGCCGCCACACCG